GAUUGCUUUUUCUUUAAUUGCUCAUAAUUUAUGGUUUUGCUUUUGAUGGAUGGCUUUUUGUUUAAUUUCUGUCUGAUAUCAAAUUUCUCCCUCUUUUUGACAUCAUCAAACAUGGUUAACUUCUCCUUUUUCUGAAAAAUUCUUUAAUUUCUCCCCCUUUAGAGUUAAUCACAGAUGUUUGCUCCCCCUUAAUACAGCAAUUAUUAACAACAACAAAGAGAAGAUAAUAUUUCAACAAGGAGAAUAUAUAUAACCAAAAUAUGAUCAACAUCAUUACAAAAGGUAGAAAUAUAAGUAAAAGAUGAUUUCAUUAAAACCAUAAUUGUUUCAAUACAUAGUUCAUAAUAUAAAAGUCAACCAGCUAAUUGUCAAUACAUGGCCCCAAAAUACAGAUCCUAGAACAAGACACUAACACCUAGGAUUUAGUAAUGAUCAUGAGAAGUCAUGGAUCGGAGUCAUCAGAUAUGGGGUGAGAAGCUGAUGGAUCUCGAUCAGAAGUACGUCCUCUACCCCGUCUGCCUCUGGCAUGAGCAGGAGAGCGAGAUGAACUGGGUGGCUGAGAACGCUGAGAGGCUAAGGACUGAACAGAAAGGGUGAGUCUGAUGGAAUCAAGUACGUUCAGUGCUCUGAAAACAGACUAAAGUAGAGCAGUGAACUGAGUGGAUGCAUGCUCACUCGAUCCUCAGAUCUCUUUUCUCAGUAACUCAUAUCCACCUUCUAGUGCUCCUCUGAGCCUGCCAGCCUCUGCAGUGAGGUCUGUGACCUCAAUAGU
rnacentral:lncRNA from 1 species